UACGGGGGGGGCAAGCGUUGUUCGGAAUUACUGGGCGUAAAGGGCGCGUAGGCGGCCUUCUAAGUCGGACGUGAAAUCCCUCGGCUUAACCGAGGAACUGCGUCCGAUACUGAAAGGCUUGAAUCCGGGAGAGGGAUGUGGAAUUCCAGGUGUAGCGGUGAAAUGCGUAGAUAUCUGGAGGAACACCGGUGGCGAAGGCGGCAUCCUGGACCGACACUGACGCUGAGGCGCGAAAGCUAGGGUAGCAAACGGG
rnacentral:rRNA from 1 species